rnacentral:pre_miRNA from 1 species
ACCACUUGGGGGUCUUGUUAGAAUGCAGAUUCUGAUGCAGAAGGAUGGGGCUGGAGCCUGAGAUUCUGCAAUUCUGACAAGCUUCCAGGUGAUGCCAA